rnacentral:rRNA from 1 species
GUUCCAGCAGCCUCUGUAAUACCGGCAGCCCAAGUGAUGGCCGCUGUUAUUGGGCCUAAAGCGUCCGUAGCUGGCCGACCAAGUCUCCCGGGAAAUCCACCCGCCCAACGGGUGGGCGUCCGGUAGAAACUGGCCGGCUUGGAACCGGAAGGCUCAGAGAGUACGUCCGGGGUAGGAGUGAAAUCCCGUAAUCCCGGACGGACUACCGAUGGCGAAAGCACUCUGAGAAGACGGCUUCGACAGUGAGGGACGAAAGCGCGGGUCUCAAACCGGAUUAGAAACCCCUGUAGUCC